UUAAUAAGAAGAACAAACAACUAGGCUGGAGGCUUUUAGCAACAAGCUUCCUUCUGAUUGGAUCUGAGGGCCACUCUAUAGGAAGGCAUCCAUGCCUGGCACUAUAAAGCCCACAUUUAAAAACAAAUCAGUGGUUGAGAAAGGCAUGGGGCCUAGGGGGUAGCUUAAUUACUACUAUUUAGCUAAACCAACGUGGUAUUAAGCUGCCCUCCACUUACGUUUAUACUCACAAAGACUACUCAGCUUUAACUCGAGCAACCUCUGUCUGUAGCUCACUAACUGCAGUUCACACAGAGACUCACGGCUGCUCGAGGUGCCGAGAACAAGUGGCCAGCGAGUGGUCAGCUCUAACCAGAACACUUUAUGCCAUUCCCUCUAAGGCUCAGGGAACAGGGAGGAAGAGGGGUCAGAAAGGAAAGAGCUUGAAGACAGGGGGAAGGGUUGUGAAAUGCCAUCUUCCGGUCCUGACUCAGCCACUGCAGUCACCACCUCAACAUCAGCAGUUGCCUGCUCUGGGCCUGCGCAAGGCUGGGCCUCUCAGACAGUUGAGAACGGGAGAGGGGCUCAUGGGGCCCUAUUCCUACUUGCAGACCCACCAUCUACCGAAUCGGGAAAGAGGAGUCGUUGUCUUCAGUUGUGUAUCUACUGGUGGGCCCAGCAGGCUCCACUGGACAGGAACUCAGGAUGUGCUCAGGAUGAACUCUGAGAGAGAGAGAGAAGCUGAAUUAUCUGCCUGUCUGCGGUUACUAUGAGCAGUAGCAGUGACCCAAGGAAGCCAGUAGAUUUGAGCAAAUGGCACCAGCACUCACCAGCUGCACAGAACAAAUCCCCCGAGGUCCUCCUCAUUUUCUAGCCUGCUGUACUCGGCCGGGCACUUUGAGACAGGCCCUUCAGUCAUCAGCUCUCCAGAAAUUGUCUCAGCUACUUCCAACCUGUAUCAGGUUCCAGCUUCAGAACUGGCCUGUGGCCUUGGAGUGAGGGGUGCAGCAGUCGGCGGAGCUGAAGCACAGCUGCAUGUGUCCCUCGACACCCAAUGAUCUGCAGGCCUUGGCAGUGGACCUGUGACACACUUCAGACAGAUCCUGCUGGACAGUGCCACUUUCUCAUCUCAGAGGAGCAAGGCUGUUGUUGUUGGCAAGAUCUCUGAAUGAAGAAAAUUCAGAAGUAGCAUGCCUACUCUCCUCUAGGGCCAGACAAGUCAUGAUUUGUUCUUUGUUAACCUCAGUCUAACAGUCCAUUUUCAAAAGGGAAUGGAAAAUACAGUGUUUGCUACCAGCUCUUAGCA